rfam:Ixodes scapularis strain Wikel colony gcontig_1108378944648, whole genome shotgun sequence.
GGGGGUGUAGCUCAGAUGGGAGAGCGCUCGCUUGGCAUGCGAGAGGUACUGAGAUCGAUACCCAGCACCUCCA